GGGGUUGUGGCUCAGUGGUGGAGCACUCGCCUAGGGUGUGUGAGGCCCUGGGUUUAAUCCUCAGUACCACA
rnacentral:tRNA from 1 species